GGGGGAAAUACUGUUUCUUUUUACAGUACCUGGCAAAGUGUUUCACGUUCCUCUUUGCUGAGAGAGUUCCGGUGAACAGCUCCUGGAAAUCAGAAGCACAUGGGAAGAGGGUCACGUCCCAGUGAGAGGUUUGCAGUCAGUGUCAGCUUAAUACUGGAAUCCUGCUGGAUUCGUCCUCAGAUGAAUACUGAGUGCUUUUCUGGAAAACGCUUCUCAUCCAGGGAAUGCUGUUCUCAUUGUAGAGAUCUCUAAGGUAUUUUCUCCCAAACUGCUGUGUUAUGAAAGAAGAUGAGAAAUUGGCCGAACAUAAGCAGGGAAAGAAAGAAAUGAAGUCAAUGUAAACUUGUCAGGUGGACAGUGUAAAUAAACUGACAUCACCUGUCUCCAGAAA